CUGAGCCAAGCUCCUUUUUAUUCACCGAAAAAAACCUUCUCUCUUUUUCACCAAAAAAGCGCACUCCUUGAUCUCCAUUGAGGCUACUCCUUUUUCACCAAAUCGAGUCUCCAUUGAAGCAGCUUUUGAGGAUGGAACUAGGGCGGAUGGCUGCUGAGCUAGAUAUUCUUACCUUGAAUCAGAAACUCGAUCAAUUGCAUGCGGAGCUCGAACAAAUUAAUUCAGAGACUUAUUCGGCAUUCUUACCUGAUUGGGAUCCCCCUUAUGAAUUUCCUCCUGGACGCGAUGACUGUUAUCUGAUGGCUUUGGAAAAGGACCGCAUUGACAGCAUUAAACCUUGUGCUGAGGCUGUCUUGAAAAUAUUUAACCAAGAAAAUUUAUCUUACAGACUAUGAACUUAUGGAUUGUCUCGAUAUCUGUUUUGCUCGAGAUUAUGAUUUUUUUGCUCAUUGCAACUUCACUGCCAAGCCUAAUUCAGCUCCCUUGAAAGCCGGCGAUUUUUCCUCUAAGGUGUUCUUUGCUGAGUUGAAGAUGAAUUCUAAAAAUGAAAUUAUUCCAUCUAAUUAUGCUGUGUUGGAUGGUGUUAACUGGAAACUUGGCUGUGAGAUGUGCCCAGAAGUAGUUGCUCAUCCCACCUCUGGACCCGGUGAAAGGUUCUUGUUGUGUCGACACAGUCCUCACUUUAUUCGUGUUGACUGAUGAGGAAUCUUGAUAAUAUAUCAUGUUAACGUCUGUUGUAAUUAUUACAAUAUAUUUCGUAUUAUGUUUUAAGGAUUUUAAACUAUUUACUCUUAUGUGAGUUUGCAUUAUCUAGUAUGUAUGUUCAUGGUGCUAAGUAUUAGUGCUGUUGUUAAACUUGAUGUGAGCUACUUAUUUUAAUGUGUUGGACUUUGAUUAAACUAUUUUAAUACUUGGGUCCAAUAUUUCUCUUUA